rnacentral:rRNA from 1 species
AGACUGCCUUCGUAAGGAGGAGGAAGGUGUGGACGACGUCAAGUCAUCAUGGCCCUUAUGCCCAGGGCGACACACGUGCUACAAUGGCAUAUACAAUGAGACGCAAUACCGCGAGGUGGAGCAAAUCUAUAAAAUAUGUCCCAGUUCGGAUUGUUCUCUGCAACUCGAGAGCAUGAAGCCGGAAUCGCUAGUAAUCGUAGAUCAGCCAUGCUACGGUGAAUACGUUCCCGGGUCUUGUACUCACCGCCCGUCACACCAUGGGAGUUGAUUUCACUCGAAGCCGGAAUACUAAACUAGUUACCGUCCACAGUGGAAUCAGCGACUGGGGUGAAGUCGUAACAAGGUAACCGUAGGAGAACCUGCGGUUGGAUCACCUCCUUUCUAG